UGCAAUGACAGUGAAGAACUCGACCAGCUGCAACUGGAAACAGCAGAGCUACGGCAAGAGGUUAGGAGAUUAAAGUCUCUCCUGAAGGAGGUGGAAGGCAGCAGGAAAUCCAUGGAAGAGGAGCUUCAGAGAUUGAACCAGAAAGCCCUGGGCUUCCUCUCCGAGAACCGGAGCCUGCAAAGCAAGCUACAGGUGGCCGAGGCCUCACAGCGGCAGGCCCACAGCGCGGAGCAAGAUUACGAAGGAGUGAUUCAUUUGCUGGAGGCAGAAAUCGUGGAGCUGAAAACUCAGCUCCUGGGGAAGAAAGCCAG